ACAACUUUCAGCAACGGAUCUCUUGGCUCUCGCAUCGAUGAAGAACGCAGCGAAAUGCGAUAAGUAAUGUGAAUUGCAGAAUUCAGUGAAUCAUCGAAUCUUUGAACGCACCUUGCGCUCCUUGGUAUUCCGAGGAGCAUGCCUGUUUGAGUGUCAUUAA
rnacentral:rRNA from 49 species